rnacentral:tRNA from 1 species
UUGAGGUAGUUAAAAGUUAUAACAAAACUUUGAAGAAGUUUAAUUGGGUUGCUAAAUUCUCCCCCUCAAUAA